UGGGGAAUUUUGGACAAUGGGGGGCAACCCUGAUCCAGCAAUGCCGCGUGUGUGAAGAAGGCCUUCGGGUUGUAAAGCACUUUUGUCCGGAAAGAAAACGUCGUGGUUAAUACCCGUGGCGGCUGACGGUACCGGAAGAAUAAGCACCGGCUAACUACGUGCCAGCAGCCGCGGUAAUACGUAGGGUGCAAGCGUUAAUCGGAAUUACUGGGCGUAAAGCGUGCGCAGGCGGUUUGCUAAGACCGAUGUGAAAUCCCCGGGCUCAACCUGGGAACUGCAUUGGUGACUGGCAGGCUAGAGUAUGGCAGAGGGGGGUAGAAUUCCACGUGUAGCAGUGAAAUGCGUAGAGAUGUGGAGGAAUACCGAUGGCGAAGGCAGCCCCCUGGGCCAAUACUGACGCUCAUGCACGAAAGCGUGGGGAGCAAACAGGAUUAGAUACCCUGGUAGUCCACGCCCUAAACGAUGUCAACUAGUUGUUGGGGAUUCAUUUCCUUAGUAACGUAGCUAACGCGUGAAGUUGACCGCCU
rnacentral:rRNA from 1 species